UUAGCAGAUGUUAACUUUAACAGGCCUUUUUUUCUGGCACUGUGAGCUGAACAAUAAGGAAAUGAAUGGGUCUUGAAGAGAUCUCUGCACAAUCAUGGAAGUAUUCUCUUCAGAUCACUGUAAGGAUAUAUUUGAAGAGAGAAAAUUUGUUCUGCUCUUCACUUUGGGUGAGAACAGUCGAGGUUUGGAGAUCUGGACCACCAUCAAAACCCACCAAAUUCUCUUAGCUUCUGCUGCUAGCUUCCUUGAGUUAAUUGAAGAAAACUCCUUUGUGUACCUACUGUGUGUAAGAAUCCUUUUCAUUAUGUAUAUCCCUUGAUUAACAUGUGGAUGCAGUAAUCAAAAAUAUUAGCAGUUGUUCAUUUGUUGAUGUAUUCUUCCUCCCUAAUUAAUCCUAGCUUUACUUGACAGUUGCUUGUUUGGAUGAGCUUUUUGGUUUUCUUUUCCUGCAGCAUUUCUUCUGAGCUCUUCCUGCUCCUCACAAGGCUGAAUGCCAUUCUUCUGGAAGGCAUGUUCCUAAGAGACAUUGUCAGUAGAACUCUGAGUAAAAUGGAUUACAAAGGGCAUUGAUUACCCUUCUGAAGAUGGUAGGAGGAGUCCCAUUGAUUUUAUUGUGCAUUAGGUUGGUGCAGUGCGCAUGUAGUCUGACUGUAUUGCCUCGUAUAGUAGUCCUCACCGACUUUUACAUAGCAGUCUGGAGGCAUCAUUGUCUGCCAUAUCCGCUUGAUGUUGUCAGUAUUUCUUAAUGUAGAUUUUGGAAUAAGUUGCUUUUCAACAUUUAUAAAAUCAGACAAAUUUAUAAAUAUAAAAUUAUAAUAUAAAACUAAUGCUUAGUUAGAAUAAGAUAGACUAAUAUUUUCAGAAAGCUAACUCAGUGGAAAGAGGACUCUCUUCAAAUAUGGCAGUAUGUGACUUAGAAGAAGCUCAUGAGAAGCCACAGUUUUCAAAAAUGAACUCUAUAGGUAUACAAUACUGGUAGUAAAAAUGUCAUGUAGUCAGAUACAUCUCCCUGUCAGCGGUUACUUUGUAAUUGGGACYUCAUUCACAAUAUUACACAAGUUCACCUUACUUCAGGGCAUCAUAAUUUGUUUCUCUUACUCUGAUUUAAAAUGUCUGUAUUAAAGUCUGUAGAAUAAUGUUUAUUAAUAUGCUUAGUUCAUUAAUUACAGAAAUAUAUGCAAGUUAUAUACUUUCAAAAUAGUAGUAAAUUCCUUUUUAUAUAUGGAGGUGUUUUUGCAGUUACCCAGAUGUGCUACUUUUGUAAUGUAAUGUUCAGCCUUUUAAAGAGUGUGAAUUCCCACCCCCACUUGCUAGCUAAUGACUGUUUGAGGAAGGAUACUCUAGUCAAGGAAAUAGAGCAGCCUCUGUUUUCAAAAACAAGGCUGUAAAAUUAUCCUUCUAAAUACUGAUUUGCAAUCCUAAAUCGAUGAUUGAUUUCUGAAAUACUGAUAAAUCUACUACAGUCCCUGGGAACUGCUGAAUGCCUUAACACUCCUAAGAACCUAAGGUAAAAAAAUUAGGCUUGGAUUUUAGAGGAGCCUAGUGAAGUCCAGCAUUUAAACCUCACUGAAAUUUCUCACCUAACAUCUGGUUUCUCUACAUAUUUCUAUAGUAACAAUUUUUCUUUGCCAAGGAUAAUAGCUGACAUCAGAAUUGUAGACACUUAACAGUAACGAUUUACAGCACUGUACCAGAUGACAGAAUCUGCAGUAAAAUGUGUAUUUGAAGCUGUGAAACUUUGUUCUUUGCUUAUUAGGGAGGUCAUUGCUGUAAGUUUGUGCCGCAGUUCAACAGAACUUGGAAGACAUGGAGAGCAACCUAAAUAAAUUGUGUAUACAAGUCUAAUAUACCUGCUUU
rnacentral:lncRNA from 1 species